GUAAAUGAUAGAAUAAUCUAGAUCUUGUUGUAUCUAGAAUGAUCCUAACAUAAGUAUAAAUAGGGUGUCCUUAGUCAUUUAUAUGCAACCCAGAACAAAGACAAUUAAAAAGUCUUCCUUCAUAACAAAGUUCUUCUAUCCAAAUUCUUACUUUUCUUUUCUUUCUCUUCUUUAGUUGAAUCUUUUAAUUUUAGUUAACGAUCUUGGGCUAACAAUCUUUUUCCCGAUUAUACUUUUCUUUUGCUAUCUUUUCACAAGUUGGGAUCAUUCUAGUCAAUUUUAAAGAAAAGGCAAGAUUUCUGGUAGGUUUUGCUGGAUCGUUCUAGUCAAUUUUAAGUCUUCUCAAAGAGAUCAAAUGGAAUCAGAACCCUCACGUCGACACAAAAAGCGGAGGAAACACAUAAGCGGCUUCCGGUGAAGCCCCUCUUCCAAUUCAGGUAUGUAUCAAAAAGCUGACUUAUCUCAGUCCCUCUUGUGAUUUGUGGAAUGAUACAUUUUCAACAAGGAAGAGAACAAGAGGAAUGCCAAAUCAAGAAAUCUGGCUAGUGGAGAAAUGAAAUUGUAUAUGCUUAUGAUUUCUUGGUUUUGGCUACUAGAGAAAACAAUGAAGGCCAUAUUUCAAAAGUGGAAGGCCUUGAAAAUUUCAAUGAGAGAAAAAAUGAAGAUAAAAAAGUAUUAGUUGUUGGAUCUGGAAAUUCUGAUAUAGAAAUUGCUUUUGAUCUUUGAAAUUAUGGAAGUCAAACAUCAAUUGUUGUUAGAAGUCCAAGAAGUUUCUCAAUUUUGUCUUUACUUCUUUUUGGUUUGCAUCAAUGUAGGUUUGUGUUUGUUGAAUUUGUAAUUGAUAUCGAUGAUGUUCGAUCAGUUUA